rnacentral:tRNA from 1 species
GCCGCCGUAGCUCAGGUGGUAGAGCGGCGGGCUGUUAACCCGUCGGUCGUGGGUUCAAGUCCCACCGGCGGCGCCA